rnacentral:rRNA from 1 species
CGUGGGUGACCUGCCCCCUACUCUGGGAUAAGCCUGGGAAACUGGGUCUAAUACUGGAUAUGACUUCGCAUCGCAUGGUGUGGGGUGGAAAGUUUUUUCGGUGGGGGAUGGGCCCGCGGCCUAUCAGCUUGUUGGUGGGGUGAUGGCCUACCAAGGCGACGACGGGUAGCCGGCCUGAGAGGGCGACCGGCCACACUGGGACUGAGACACGGCCCAGACUCCUACGGGAGGCAGCAGUGGGGAAUAUUGCGCAAUGGGCGGAAGCCUGACGCAGCGACGCCGCGUGGGGGAUGACGGCCUUCGGGUUGUAAACCUCUUUCGGCCCCGACGAAGCGUGAGUGACGGUAGGGGUAGAAGAAGCACCGGCCAACUACGUGCCAGCAGCCGCGGUAAUACGUAGGGUGCGAGCGUUGUCCGGAAUUAUUGGGCGUAAAGAGCUCGUAGGCGGUCUGUCGCGUCGAUCGUGAAAACUUGGGGCUUAACC